rnacentral:rRNA from 1 species
UACGGGGGGGGGCAAGCGUUGUUCGGAAUUACUGGGCGUAAAGGGCGCGUAGGCGGCCAUUCAAGUGACGGGUGAAAGCCCUCGGCUUAACCGAGGAACUGCCUGUCAGACUGGAUGGCUUGAGACCGGGAGAGGUGAGUGGAAUUCCCAGUGUAGCGGUGAAAUGCGUAGAUAUUGGGAGGAACACCAGUGGCGAAGGCGGCUCACUGGACCGGAACUGACGCUGAGGCGCGAAAGCGUGGGGAGCAAACAGG